UUGCACGCUGGCGGAAUGCUUUACCCAUGCAAGUCGCACGGCAGCACGGGAGCUUGCUCCUGGUGGCGAGUGGCGAACGGGUGAGUAACAUAUCGGAACGUACCCAGUCGUGGGGGAUAACUAUCCGAAAGGAUAGCUAAUACCGCAUACGUCCUGAGGGAGAAAGCGGGGGAUCGCAAGACCUCGCGCGAUUGGAGCGGCCGAUGUCGGAUUAGCUAGUUGGUGGGGUAAUGGCUCACCAAGGCGACGAUCCGUAGCGGGUCUGAGAGGACGACCCGCCACACGAGAACUGAGACGCGGUCCAGACUCCUACGGGAGGCAGCAGUGGGGAAUUGUGGACAAUGGGGGCAACCCUGAACCAGCCAUUCCGCGUGAGUGAAGAAGGCCUUCGGGUUGUAAAGCUCUUUCAGCAGGAACGAAACGGUCGGCUUUAAUAAAGUCGGCUAAUGACGGUACCUGCAGAAGAAGCACCGGCUAACUACGUG
rnacentral:rRNA from 1 species